rnacentral:rRNA from 1 species
CCUACGGGGGGCAGCAGUGAGGAAUCUUGGUCAAUGGGCGCGAGCCUGAACCAGCCAAGUAGCGUGAGGGAUGACUGCCCUACGGGCUGUAAACUUCUUUUAUAAAGGAAUAAAGUGAGGCACGUGUGCCUUUUUGUAUGUAUUUUAUGAAUCCGGAUCGGCUAACUCCGUGCCAGCAGCCGCGGUAAUACGGAGGAUCCGAGCGUUAUCCGGAUUUAUUGGGUUUAAAGGGAGCGUAGAUGGGUUGUUAAGUCAGUUGUGAAAGUUUGCGGCUCAACCGUAAAAUUGCAAUUGAAACUGGCAGCCUUGAGUACAGUUGAGGAAGGUGGAAUUCGUGGUGUAGCGGUGAAAUGCUUAGAUAUAACGAAGAACUCCGAUUGCGAAGGCAGCCUACUAAUCUGCCACUGACAUUGAUGCUCGAAAGUGUGGGGAGCAAACAGGAUUAGAUACCCCUGUAGUC